UACGGGGGGGGUAAGCGUUGUUCGGAAUUACUGGGCGUAAAGGGCGCGUAGGCGGUUCGAUAAGUCCCGUGUGAAAUCCCUCGGCUCAACUGAGGAAUUGCACGGGAAACUGACGGGCUUGAGUUCGGGAGAGGGAAGCGGAAUUCCGGGGUGUAGCGGUGAAAUGCGUAGAUAUCCGGAGGAACACCGGUGGCGAAGGCGGCUUCCUGGACCGACACUGACGCUGAGGCGCGAAAGCUAGGGGAGCAAACGGG
rnacentral:rRNA from 1 species